AUCUAUAAAUAGGAGUGUAGGAGUGAAAUGGCCUCUCAGUACAAACCAUUACUCAGCCAUCAACAAAAUGAAGGCUAUAAUUCUUAUUUGCAUUCUCUUCACUUUCCUUCUUAUCUCAUCCCCUCUAAUUGCUGCUCGCGAAUUGGCUGCGUAUAAGGGAGUUACUCGCGGAACCAAGAAUCCCAAGAAUCCAGCAGUACCAUGCGGGCGUGGCAAACGAUAUAGUUCUUGCUUACCAAAGCCGCCGCCCCCCAAAUGUAAUUCAAAAUACACCCGCGGUUGCAAGCCAUGACCUCAAGGACCUUGAAUCAGUACUAGUACUACUUAAUUAUUGUGGUGUGGGGAAAGUAUGAAUAAAUAGUACUACUAAAUUAAGUUACGAUCGAGUAGUACUCAUGUAUUCCUCUUGAGAAUAAAUAGGAUUUGGUUUGAUACCAUGAUUAAUAUUGUAUUGGAUCUCGUUCGAUCGAUAUUCGAACUUAAUUCCUUUGCAGUAUGGAAAUAUAUUAAAUGUAAAAUAUGCUAGCUGCACCUUGAUCAUAUGCUGUACGUAUGCCAAUAAAUUAAAAAUAAUCGAGAUGACCGGCAUAGUUUUGGUCAUCUUCUUGUCCUAUACCUCAAAUAUUUAAUCAUUUUCUUAAUGUCAUUACAAAGGAUACGCCAUGUUGCAGCUCUUGAAUCCUUCGGAAAUCACCCUAUAUUUCGCAGCUGAUGGAUUGUACCAACAAUCGUGGCUUCAUCGCAUGUUGGACGUCAUAUAAUCGUUGCAACUGCUGGAACUCAGCUAAUGUCGUGAAUCGUUGGCUUUAUAGAUGUUUUCCAUCGUUUUUUACUGAUGGAAAAAACAGAGGAAAGCCGUUGCAACUGUCGUUAGGAGAAUCGAUUGUAAUCGCUGCACUUAAUUGUUUGGGUCGAUUUACAACGUCGCAGUCCCCCAAAGAUGCCGCUGCAAUUAUCGAUUGCAUCCUCGACUGAAUCCACAAUUCGAUGUAACUUGUAUCGUUACGUCGGCAGCCCAUCCACCACAAAUACUAGUUAUUUCGCUGAUGCUGUCUUUUCUCAACGAGGUAGAAAGUAGACGGGUUUCUUCUGUGCCGCCGGUAGAACAAUAGUUCUAACUUUACAUCGGCAAACCGCGUCCACCACAGCGGCAGCCAUACGGCGCUGCCCUGGUUUGAAUCUGAAAACGAGCUCAGUGACUCCGUCCAAAACGCCGAUCCGAGAGAGAGGAAAAGAACUGGUCUUCCCCUUUAUUUCAUUCCACCGGCCAGAAUAUUCACUUUUUGUCCUCCUCUAUCCCGCAUCAAGACUGCUCAAAGAAGGUCACUGGUUCGACGCCGAAGUGGCCGAGUUCAGAGAUUCCGUACGAAACCGAUCUGAGAGAGAUGAAGAGAAUUUGUUCGGUGCUCUGCCUCUCCCUUCGAUCCUCUGCCUUCCCCUUAGAAGCCGACCAAAAGGAGCGGCCGAACUCAGUGACCGUCCGUCGCCGAUCUGAGAGUGAGGGGCAGACGGAAAAAUGGAGAGUGAAGGGUUCGGCCGUCGAGCCGUACUUGGAAGAUAGGGUCUGGUAGGUAACCCUGGUACGACCCCUGGUAGGCUUGGAUAACCCAAAAUCCUUCCUCGAAAAAAGUCGACCUGCGCAGAAAUGCCCUCAGGAUUGUGCUCUUGGUCCUCAAGCAAAUCUUCGGGAUCGUGAUUCCGAACGAAGCCGCCGAUAACAGGGUCGUUUCCGUCGAAGCCGUGAGCUUCGUCGUCAGAUCUAUGCGAUCCCAGAGCAGAGGCUCCCCUGGUCUUCAGUCUGAAAUUUCUUCAACUCGAGCUAGGUCUCUCGGUGAGCGGUUUGCAGGUGAUCUCAAUCAUGUUUGUGGGUCAUCUUGGAGAGUUAGCUCUUGCUGGUGCUUCCAUGGCCAGUUCUUUUGCCGUAAUUCCUCCUUGAACCAUUAACAAGACCCUGUUCUGGCCGGGUUCAUUUACGGCAUUGAAGGAGAUGAGCUUGGUUGGGUUGCCAGCGCGGUGGGUCGACGGCGGAAGAUCUGUAGACCAUAAGGGGGCCGGAGAACGUACUGAAGAUGUGAAGAUCUGUAGGGGGAAAGUGAAAAACAGUGGGUAUAAAUUAAGGCGCACGGUUUUGUUGACUAAUUUGAAAACCGUUGCAAAAGUUUUUUUUUUUUGUUUUUGAGAUGUUGCAGCGACUUUUUUAUUGCAACAAGUUCAAAAAUCGCCAUAAAAAUUAAUUUGAAUAUUGUAGCAAUUUAUAGUCGACGUAAAAAGCCAAAAAGUGUUGCAAAAGACCAAUUUCGAAUUUUGAUGUAAAAAAUUUUGCAACAACAUAAAAAUUGUUGCAAAAUAAAGAUUUUUUGCAACAAUUUUUGUUCCAUCAAACAUAAAAUUGCUGGAACAAGACCUUAUUCUUGUAGUGUGUUCGAGAGCUAAUAUAUAUUAAUCAUUUAUCCAUUAAGAAGAGCAAGUGCAGUAUACCGUAUGGCAAAAGCUAAACAGUCAUUAAUUGUUGUCCCUCGGUUUGCUUUACUUUUAUUCCGAUUUUACGUUUUUGUCCCUUAGAUUCGUGAACAGUUACUUCUCGACCACUUUGGCUUUCAGACCCCCUCUCUUUUCUUUCUCUCCACCUCACGGCACUUGCGGUCGUCAGUAGCUGCGGAGCACGCCGGACAUGAGGGUUUUGUCCUCCCGCACUGUCUGAUGCUUCUUUCUCCAAUGGAAACCAAAGCCCGUAGAGAGAGAGAGAGAGAGAGAGAGAGAGAGAGAAUGUGAGGCUUUUGAAUGUAUUCCUGGGGCUCGAAAGGAACCACCUCUCCACGGUCAAAGGCAGCCAGCUCAACGGAAACUCUGUUGGCGGAAUUUCGUGUUGGCAUUUUUUGACGUCUCGUGUUUCGAACUUGAUCGUGUUUUGGGUUGUUGUUAUCAGCGAUCAUUGGGUUAGAUUUUCGCGGGUUCUGCUGGACCUAUGUUUCGUGCAAUUGGGUCCGUCUAGAUGGUUUGCAUUGUUAUCUGUUCGGUUUGAUCUAUCGUUUGUUUCAUUUUACUGGCCCUCAUUCUCAUCAGCUACUUUGGCUGUCUGCUGCGGGUCUCUUUCUUUGAACCUCACUCAUAAAAAAAUUGAUAGAUUUUUUCCCAAGAAAUAUUAUUUGUUUUCUCCCAAUUAUUGAAAGAAGGAUUGAUUUUGUUUUUGUUUGUAAUUAUUGAUGUAAUUUGCUAUCUGUUGGCGCAGAUUUUAUAUGAUCAACAUGUAGAUACAAAUGUUAAAAGCUAGGUAUUUUUGUUUUUUUUUUUUUUCCUUUGUGAUGGUUCCAUUAAUGCAAAUUUUAGGUAGAUGUUUUGAUAAGAUUAUUUGCUUGUAAAUUGUAAAGGUUGUUUUGAAUUUAGAGGAUUUGUGUGAGGUUGUGAAUUUAAGAGCUUGUCUUGCCUUUAUUUAUUCCUGCUUCUUGGUUUUGGAUAAGAAUUCUAUGUUGAUUGUUUUUUUCCUUUGUUUUCGUUGUUUCUUCCAUUCUAAUGCUUCAUUUUCUAGACGCUUUCUUUUAUUUGCAACUUACUGCUGACAUGGACCAGUGGUAGCAACGACGCCACAAAAAAAUUCAAUGUCCUUUCCAUUCAUGUUGAGAUGAUAUAACAACAUAACUCUUGGAUGUACAUACUGCCUUAUCUAGGUAAUAGCUGUUUUGAUUCUCCCAAAAAACACUUGGAAGUAAUUUUUUGUGCUAUGCUAAAUUUGGAUCAACAAUAUGACAAGAUGUGAUACCUUGUGGAUAGAAUCCGUAGCAAGAUGCUUUUAGGAAAUUGUUGGAUAAUGGUUCAGAUGUUUCUAAUUUUGGAUUGUUUCAGGAAUGAUGCUAGAGAAGAUGUGAUACUUUUUAUGAAAAUCUUUGGCUAUUAAAUGUAAUGACUACUGAUUUUGGCAUA